rnacentral:lncRNA from 1 species
UACAAAUUCAUCACAUGUUUAUGAUUUUAUAUGGGAAUCAAAAAGCUUUCAUGGAUGUUCACCAUGUGCUCAGUGCUGUCAACAGACCCCAUUAUGACAACACAAUGUAACGGAAUCCUUGCCAUGAUAUCAUUGCUGGUUCCAUCUGACAAGCAAAAUAUCAUUUCCACUCUUUUCAUGAUAGAUCUCUCACAGAGAUAGGUUAAGUUCUUAUUUUGAUAGUGUUAAUAUUUAUCAUCAAUGGCUUAUCGAGGAAGAAAGUUUGACAAACUCCAGAAGGAGAACUCUCAGAUAUAGAGCGUCAUCAAAAACUUGAGGAAGCAAAACAUGGCUUUAAACCAACAGGAUGACCAGGACAAGUUUUCAAGUUUUGUAAGGCUCAUCAGUUUUUCAAAAAUAUCACUGUGUUUAUUUUGUGGUUUCAUAGACAUACAGUAGGCCUACAUCCAUAACAUCUUUAGCUUAAAAGCUUUAUAUGACACACUGUAGAAACUAUUUUGACUACUUCCCUUCUGCUAUUCAUUUCAUACUGUACCAUUGUGAUCCAGGGCCAUCAGGAGAGCUACCCAAUCCCAGAGGGCCAUCGGGGCUUCAUAAGUGAUGCCAGACUUCUGCAGAUGCAGAGAGCUGAGAGAGAGGCCAUGGAAGCAAAGCAAAGAAAGAUAAGUGCUAUCCAUGAGAAUUAUGUCCGGACUGCUCUCAUCGGGGUUGGCAGCACCUUCGCGCACCACUUCGUCCCCUCUAUUCAGUGCAUUCCGCAGCCGAAAGCUCCACCGAGGCCUUUGCCACGAAGGCUUGAACACAUAGCUCUGGCCCCACUGAAGAACGUGGUGGGGGUGGACGGAGCCCAAGUUCGACCCGGAUCUCACUCUCUGGAGUCCAUAGAGGUAAAUAAGUCAUUCAGCAGCAGUAGCGUGCGGCCUGUUCCCGUCCCUCCCGCUGGAGCUCCCUCCAAGAGGGGCAAGAAGAAGAAGGGCAGGCGGGGAGUCAAAGCCCUGAAAGUCCAGUUGGACCAGGCCUGUGCUGACAACAACGGACCCAUUGACCUGAUGGAGGAGGUGAGGGACAUCGAGGCUCACCUGAAGGAGGAGGCCUGGAAGGUGGUACAUGAGGUGAAGGCCAUGGGCAGGAGAAGUUUGGGCUCGGCCAUGUCCAUGGGGGAAAUAGCCACCAGCUCUCUGGGAAGCCUGAGCUCAGUGGAUAUGAACACCCCUGCGGAGCUCCGUGACUACUUGGAUGUUGGGACCCCGGUAAAGUCGCGUGACAGCCCACCCAGGCCUGCUCCCCCUCCUACCAAGCCCAGGAGCAAACUGCCUCGGCCUAC